AGAAUCUUCACUCAGCCUUUAAUAUUGUAUUUGGCAGGCAGUGAAGUCACAAGGAGAGAGAAGAAAUGGAAGGGUCGGUGACAGUGGCUACUGCCCAUAGAAGUUCGUGCCUGGAAGCUGGGAAUGUCCUGUGCCCACCACCUCUCACCCACUACUCUGUCACUCAUCAACUGGCAGAGACUAGGAAUAAGAAUUAAAUGGAAGUGAUGGUGACCCAGAGAAGACGAGGAGAACAUGGAGCAGAGGAGCCAGAACUGACCGUAUGAGCCUAGUUCUUCUGUACUGUAAGAAGGUAGCUAAAGCCAGUGGAAGUCAAUAUUCAAUACAAGUUUAAAUAAGCCCACAACACCAAAGCAAAGCCUACAUUAUCAAGCUUCUAACUUUCAAUGAUUUGGGGGAACAUUUAUCAAGCAUCCACUAAGCCCUGUCUAGAUACUAGGCACAUCCCAAUGAACAAAACAAAGCCCAUACCAUCAUAAAGCUUCCAUUCUUACAUGACUCAACCUAAGCACUGGACUCUUGGAGGACAGCCAACCUUCACAAGACAAGGCAAGAUUCCCCAUGACACCAAGGACUCCAGUCAUAAUCCACAAUAUAUCGGCAUCCACUUUCUCCAUUUCAGCAGUGAAGAAUGUCUGCUGCUUCUGCUGAGGAGCAGAGUUCAGUUCCCGGAACCCACGUCAGGUAGCCACAGCUGCCUGUAACUCCAGCGCCAAGGGGAUCUGACACCUCAGGCCUCUGCAGGAGCUGCAUUUAUUUACACACACACACACACACACACACACACACACACACACACACCACUUUAAAAUAAUAGAAAGAAAUCAUUUUUAAAAAAUUCUUAGCUUCUUGAUAACCCCAAAUAGUUCAAUGUUGAUGCAAGAACAAAGGGUCCUGUUUCUUCCACUCUAAAACUACGAAGCCAGACCCAAACUCCUCAGGCACUGUGUUCCCUGUCUUGUCUGUCUUGCCCCUCUGCAUGGAAAUCAAAGAGGAGGCAAGAGGUCUAUUGCUCUGUAUAUCCAACCACAGCACGGCAGGUGCUGAAGUCGAAACCAGAACCUUAAACAUCUGGGAAAGCCUUGCUCUCCCAGAGGCUGCAUCUUUGAACAUGGGCUUACUCGUUGCAUCUGAUACGUUACCAGGAAUUGCCAGUUUUCUCUGAUAUCAGCCUGCUUUUUGCUACUCCCCUUUCAUCAGUACACUUCAACAGCCAGAAGCAGCAAGCUUCACCAUGCCGCCAAGCCUCUGUACAUGCUCUCCCCUCACAUCACAGUUGCUUCACACACCUAUGGAUCCCAAAUAGGACUUAAAAUUCUUCCUGGUUUAGGUUCUUUGAUUGUGCUAAUGGCCCCAGCACAUCGCUUUUCGCCAAGUACCUUGGCAUGUCUUCUGCUCCACCCAAUUCUGUCUCCAGCUUGUCACCUUGCUUUGGCUGUGGGUUAUUAACAGAUAGAAUUGAACAGGAGCUUCUAAUGCUGCUUGCACAAUGCUGCUUGCACAUGUGUGCCUCUGCCAUGACAAGAACAUUUGCGGGCUAGCCUGAUGAUGGAGUUGGAAGCAGAGGUCACUGAUCACAGACAUUCCAGCCAAGCCUAUGCUAGGUCAGCUAACGGUGAACCAGUCCACAGUCCUGAGUGUGUACCCUGUCAGAAUGAACAGAGCUGCCUGGCUAACUCACAGCCCAAAGCAGCUACACCCAUCCCUGCGUAGACUCAGAACAAGGGUUCAAGCUAGGCUGGACAUGGUGACACAAACCUGUAAUCUGAGCACUUAAGAGAUGUUGUCAAGAGAAUUGCUGAGAAUUCAAAGCCAGCAUAAGCUACAUAGCAAGACCUCGACCCCAAAACAAUAAAGAAACAACGCAAACUUAGAAAAGGGCUAACAGGAUAGCCCAACAAGUGAGCAGGGUAUGUGCUGUUAAACCUGUCAACUUGGGUUUAAUCCCCAGAGUCCAUAAGGUGGACUCUGACUUCCAUACAGUCACCAUGUACACAAACAACCACAAACCAAAUAAAUGUAUUAAUUAAAAAAAAACAUAAAAAUAUAGUAUUUCAUAAUACAUGAACCCAAGCAAUGUUCAAAUUCUGCUAUCCAUAUAUAUUGUUUUACUGAAACAUAGACAUGUUUAUUUAUUUAUAUAAUGUCUGGGGAGUCUUUUGUGCUUCAGAGAAAGAGUCUGGAGAGGACCUGAGAUGACUUCGUGAGUGACUGAAUGGUUACUUGUUUUAGCCACUGACAAUCGGUGACAAUUAGUGACACAGCAUUCCUGUAGGGAAAUUCGCUGACACUUCUCAUUUGAGAGCUCAAUUCCCCUGGAGAAAGUAUUGGGGGAGCAUCCGGAAUGAGGUCAGGCCGAAGCUAGCCUGCUCUACUUCUCCACUCCAGGCAUGGGCCUUGAGCUGGGUCAGUGGCUGGGCCACAGGCUGGAAUGGCAGACACUGGUACGCCAAUAGUAUUGUAUCCUUUGGUAGUUCCCAUGUGGAGAGCAGACAACAUGAGCUGCUCUGCUACAGCGACUCUGUAACACCUAUUUUUGAUGAGUUUCAUCCACCCCCAAAUGCGUACUCAGAGGCCAGUUUGCAUUGGAGCAGAGAUAGAAAAAGGGCUUCUGAAAGAUAAAACCCAGACAGUAUUUACCUAGAUUAAUUUGGUUAUGUUUACACAGCGAGGCUAAAAUUUAAUUCCCACCCUGGAGUCUACUGGUAGAAACGCAGCAGGAUCAUGGUAUCAGUUAAUAAAGAAAAAAAUAAGCUACGUUUUCUUAUCACCUGUGAAUAUGCUGAGAGUCAAUUUUGCAAAUGUGAUAAGAACUUUUAUAGAAAGAAUAAAUGGGGGCCUGGGGAGGUGAUAGCUCAGUGGUUAAAACACUUACCACACAAAUAUGAUGUGUGGAGUUCAGCUCCCCAGAACCCACAUAAAUGUCAGGUGGAAGUAGCAGCCAACCUUUAAUUCCAGCUCGGGAAGGCAGAAAUGGGGUCCCCUGAGCAAGCCGGCUAGGGAGCCUAGCCCUAAUGCUGAGUUCUCUGUUUGAUUGACAGACCCCUAUGCAAAGUAUAAAAUGGAAGAGUAUAUGGGAAUGACAACUGACCUCAACCCCCACAUGCACUUGAACAUGCACACGGACACAGGCAUACAAACACGCAUACAUAUGCAUGCAGAGCACACAUGCAUAAUUGAAAUGGAUAAGGAAGACAGCAUAAACAGAUGAAUUACCACACAAACAGGAAAUUCCCCCACCGCACAGCUGUGCUCUCUUCCCACCAUUUUUUUUGGCACUGUGUCCAGCCAAGGUAUUAAUCCAGAAUGAACUCCUCAUCUCAAAAUGACUUCGAAGGCCAAGGCCAAGAAGCAAGAUGUAGAGCCAGGCCCCUCACGCAGGAACUCCUGAACAACCCCCUCUUCCCCUGCUCCCUUGGCUCUGGAGUGCAAUAGGUGGUCUCAAAGCCUUGGAUAAAUGCACACAGAGCACGCUGGCAUCCUCUUAGACUGACAAGCUCGCAUCUUUCCAGAGAUGCUGGCCUUAAAUCUGUACUGAAAAUCCUCUGAGAUCAUGUCGAGGCGAUGUUUUCCCCGAGCUGGGAGAAGUUCAGACUCUCACAUCUGGAAUUUGACCUUUGUGCAUGUUGUCAUUUCACCCACCACAGGAAACCUUUCUGGGCUGGGCUGAAAUAUGUAAGCGUUCAGCACUGUGGCUGGUAGCAAUCCCACCCAGCUGUGUGGAACGGGAAGCAACAGGGCAAUUAAUAUUCUGUGAAGACGUCAGGGACCAGACGAAAGCCGGCCAUUUAUCAUGGCUGACUCAUCGUUCGAAGAGCAAACACAUCAUUGUCUGUGGGCUUCUGCUGACUCACUUGCUAGCUCCGAGAGACGUGCACCUAGAUGGAGCUGCGAGCUACCCAGCCUGCUUUUGGAGGACAUUGCCCUUUUGAAUCAGCCACAUUGAGUUCAGUCUCUGGAAAAGUUGCUGUGAAUCUUCUACAGAGGAUUUUCAAAUGCAUGAUGAAUUGUUCCUGAAAGAGAGGACUGGCCUUUCUUGUGUCAUUUUAUGUAAACGAACCAGGAAAAGCCACAUGUGUGAAAUAUUAAAAGAACCAUGGGAUGAUGGUGGGCUAGA